rnacentral:rRNA from 1 species
UGAGGCACACAGCUCAGUAGCACGUGGCCAACCUGCCCUUGGGACCGGAACACCUUGGGAAACUGGGGCUAAUUCCCGAUAGGUGAAGAUCCUGGAAUGGGUUUCGCCGAAAAGACGUUUAUGGCAUGCUCCUAAGCGUUGCCUAAGGAUGAGGCCGCGGCCGAUCAGGUUGUUGGUGAGGUAAUGGCUCACCAAGCCUUUAACCGGUUCGGGCCGUGGGAGCGGUAUUCCGGAGAUGGGCACUGAGACAAGGGCCCUUUCCCUACGGGGCGCAGCAGUCGCGAAAACUUCGCACUAAGCGAAAGCUUGACGGGGACAUCCCGAGUGCCAUCUGCUGAGGAUGGCUUUUACCCAGUGUAGAUAGCUGGGGGAAUAAGGAGAGGGCAAGUCUGGUGUCAGCCGCCGCGGUAAUACCAGCUCUCCGAGUUGUGGGGACGUUUAUUGAGCCUAAAGCAUCCGUAGCCGGCUGGGCAAGUCCUCUGUUAAAUCCAGCGACAAAUCGUUGGCCUGCGGGAAAUACUGCUCGGCUAGGGGGCGGGAGAGACAAUCGGUAUUCUUGGGGUAGGGGUGAAAUCCUAUAAUCCCAGGAGGACCACCAGUGGCGAAGGCUGUCGGCUAGAACGCGCCCGACGGUGAGGGAUGAAAGCUGGGGGAGCGAACCGGAUUAGAUACCCGGGUAGUCCCAGCUGUAAACGAUGCAAGCUAGGUGUUAGAGCGGCUACGUGCCGCGCUAGUGCCGCAGGGAAGCUGUUAAGCCUGCCGCUUGGGGAGUUAGCCGCAAGGCUGAACUUA